ACCUUCAGGUGGACUCAAGACUGCAAUCGCGUGUCGCCCUUAGAGUUUGAUCCUGGCUCAGGACGAACGCUGGCGGCGUGCUUAACACAUGCAAGUCGAACGGAAAGGCCCUGCUUUUGUGGGGUGCUCGAGUGGCGAACGGGUGAGUAACACGUGAGUAACCUGCCCUUGACUUUGGGAUAACUUCAGGAAACUGGGGCUAAUACCGGAUAGGAGCUCCUGCUGCAUGGUGGGGGUUGGAAAGUUUCGGCGGUUGGGGAUGGACUCGCGGCUUAUCAGCUUGUUGGUGGGGUAGUGGCUUACCAAGGCUUUGACGGGUAGCCGGCCUGAGAGGGUGACCGGCCACAUUGGGACUGAGAUACGGCCCAGACUCCUACGGGAGGCAGCAGUGGGGAAUAUUGCACAAUGGGCGGAAGCCUGAUGCAGCAACGCCGCGUGCGGGAUGACGGCCUUCGGGUUGUAAACCGCUUUCGCCUGUGACGAAGCGUGAGUGACGGUAAUGGGUAAAGAAGCACCGGCUAACUACGUGCCAGCAGCCGCGGUGAUACGUAGGGUGCGAGCGUUGUCCGGAUUUAUUGGGCGUAAAGGGCUCGUAGGUGGUUGAUCGCGUCGGAAGUGUAAUCUUGGGGCUUAACCCUGAGCGUGCUUUCGAUACGGGUUGACUUGAGGAAGGUAGGGGAGAAUGGAAUUCCUGGUGGAGCGGUGGAAUGCGCAGAUAUCAGGAGGAACACCAGUGGCGAAGGCGGUUCUCUGGGCCUUUCCUGACGCUGAGGAGCGAAAGCGUGGGGAGCGAACAGGCUUAGAUACCCUGGUAGUCCACGCUGUAAACGGUGGGUACUAGGUGUGGGGUCCAUUCCACGGGUUCCGUGCCGUAGCUAACGCUUUAAGUACCCCGCCUGGGGAGUACGGCCGCAAGGCUAAAACUCAAAGGAAUUGACGGGGCCCCGCACAAGCGGCGGAGCAUGCGGAUUAAUUCGAUGCAACGCGUAGAACCUUACCUGGGUUUGACAUGGAUCGGGAGUGCUCAGAGAUGGGUGUGCCUCUUUUGGGGUCGGUUCACAGGUGGUGCAUGGCUGUCGUCAGCUCGUGUCGUGAGAUGUUGGGUUAAGUCCCGCAACGAGCGCAACCCUUGUUCACUGUUGCCAGCACGUUAUGGUGGGGACUCAGUGGAGACCGCCGGGGUCAACUCGGAGGAAGGUGGGGAUGACGUCAAGUCAUCAUGCCCCUUAUGUCCAGGGCUUCACGCAUGCUACAAUGGCUGGUACAGAGAGUGGCGAGCCUGUGAGGGUGAGCGAAUCUCGGAAAGCCGGUCUCAGUUCGGAUUGGGGUCUGCAACUCGACCUCAUGAAGUCGGAGUCGCUAGUAAUCGCAGAUCAGCAACGCUGCGGUGAAUACGUUCCCGGGGCUUGUACACACCGCCCGUCAAGUCAUGAAAGUUGGUAACACCCGAAGCCGGUGGCCUAACCGUUGUGGGGGAGCCGUCGAAGGUGGGACUGGUGAUUAGGACUAAGUCGUAACAAGGUAACCAAGGGCGACACGCGAUUGCAGUGUAACACGAGUGAUCCCCUGAGCUUCC
rnacentral:rRNA from 1 species